rnacentral:rRNA from 1 species
UGGUGUAGCGGUGAAAUGCUUAGAUAUCACGAAGAACUCCGAUUGCGAAGGCAGCCUGCUAAGCUGCAACUGACAUUGAGGCUCGAAAGUGUGGGUAUCAAACAGGAUUAGAUACCCUGGUAGUCCACACGGUAAACGAUGAAUACUCGCUGUUUGCGAUAUACGGCAAGCGGCCAAGCGAAAGCGUUAAGUAUUCCACCUGGGGAGUACGCCGGCAACGGUGAAACUCAAAGGAAUUGACGGGGGCCCGCACAAGCGGAGGAACAUGUGGUUUAAUUCGAUGAUACGCGAGGAACCUUACCCGGGCUUAAAUUGCAGAUGAAUUACGGUGAAAGCCGUAAGCCGCAAGGCAUCUGUGAAGGUGCUGCAUGGUUGUCGUCAGCUCGUGCCGUGAGGUGUCGGCUUAAGUGCCAUAACGAGCGCAACCCUUGUUGUCAGUUACUAACAGGUUCCGCUGAGGACUCUGACAAGACUGCCAUCGUAAGAUGUGAGGAAGGUGGGGAUGACGUCAAAUCAGCACGGCCCUUACGUCCGGGGCUACACACGUGUUACAAUGGGGGGUACAGAGGGCCGCUACCACGCGAGUGGAUGCCAAUCCCCAAAACCUCUCUCAGUUCGGACUGGAGUCUGCAACCCGACUCCACGAAGCUGGAUUCGCUAGUAAUCGCGCAUCAGCCACGGCGCGGUGAAUACGUUCCCGGGCCUUGUACACACCGCCCGUCAAGCCAUGGGAGCCGGGGGUACCUGAAGUGCGUAACCGCGAGGAGCGCCCUAGGGUAAAACUGGUGACUGGGGCUAAGUCGUAACAAGGUAGCCGUACCGGAAGGUGCGGCUG